ensembl:miRNA MIR4736 microRNA 4736
AGGCAGGUUAUCUGGGCUGCCAUCUCCCACUGGCUGCUUGCCUGCCU